GGCAGGCGCUCAGUCGGUGUGGAGUUGGACUCGGAUGGAGGUGAUGCGAGUGAACAAAAAUACUCACCAAGAGCAGAGCAAAGCAGGAAGAAACCGCAUCAGUCCGCCUCGACAGGACAGUGAAAUCCUGCUGUUUUGAAAAAAACAAAGCAGGGCGUGGAGGAAAAUCUUGCUUUCACACGCAGCCCCUGCUGAUUUUGUCGUCGUUUCACUGAGAUGCUGUUCCGGUCGUCCGAAGAUGCAGGACUUCCAGUUGGUCUGAUUAAUGAGGUGGUAGUAAUGCAAUAAAGCACAUCCACUCAGCUUAUGUUGAAGCCUAAACAUAGUUGAUGAUGUUUUCUUGUGUGUAUAACAUAACCGGAACUGUCAUUGCCCUGCGGACAGCGGACUCAUUCUGCCACUGUCUUGUGUCAUUACGUCCCCCUUUGUUGCGCAACCUGACCUGGUUUGAGCGACGUCCUCGCCUCAGUCCCCCCCUCGUCCCUUUAGCCUGUCCUCCCCUCCUCUUCCUCCCUCUGUCAGCUCGGCUCACGGUCACAGCUGCCGUCCUGCCUGCCUCGGUGAACAUUCAACGCUGUCGGUGAGUUUGGUAUGGAUCACAUAAAAACCAUCGACCGUUGACUGUGCCCCGUGGCUCGCUCUGGCGACGUGAGGGAAUGAGCGAAAAAGGGAAGAAAAAAAAGCGGACAAAAGGGCAAGCGGGUGCAUGCAAAUCCGGAGACGAGAAACGCACGCAUACAUGCACAAAAGUGACACUCUGUUUCCACUGUACCCAGAAGACCAAAGGUCACAAUCAACAUUCAUUGCUGUCGCUGGGUUGGACUGUGUAGAAAAGCUCACUGAACAAUGAGUGCAACUGUGGCCCAGAUCUGCCUGACUCGCGUCUCAGCCAAUCAGCCGACCGGAUGUGAAGCACUCUGAUUUCUUUAUUUAUAUACUUCUUGUUUUUCACUUCUAUUUUCUCCUCUCUUCCUCCCUCCCCGGUGCUGGGAGUCUUGAGGGGGAGAGAGAGAGAGAGAAGGGGGAGAGAGAUGGAGACACAAAUAGACUUCUGGCUGCUUGCUUGUCCUCAUCCUCCUCUCCUCUCCUCUAAUUGAUGGUUAUGUGUGCAGCAAGGGGGAAGGAAGCGGAGUGAAUGUGUAAUCAUUUGGAGUCUCUUCUCCUUUAGAUGUUUCAUCCCUCUCUUUUUUGUUUGUCUAAUUAUAUACUGAGCUCAGUUAACUCUGUGUUAACUGCUGGCAAAAAAGAGGACUGACAGAAAAGGAGAGGGGGGGAAAAGGUUGAAGUUAUUAUCUAAUUUUUGGUAUAUUUUAUAUAACGUUCUUCCUGGGGCCUGCUGCAAAGGAUAUGAGCAAUUUUCAAAAAGAAUGAAGAUUGUUUUCACCUUUCUGUGGAUGUCUCAUUAUCUGUGUUUGAGUUUCAUGAGAGGCUGUCUGGUUUCCUGCCUACCUCUGUGUGUGUGUGUUGGUGAUAGAGGACCUGUCUGCUGAUCUCACAGUGUAAUAUGUUAUUUUCCUUCUACACUAAAGCCUGUUCUCUCAUGGGAGAAGAGGCAGUCUAUGACCUUGUCUUCCUUCACAGUCUGACCGGCCACACUGCUGCCAUUCCUCAUUGUCCUCCUCCUGUAACAACUCUCUCACCCUGCGUCCUGUAUCCCUAAUUCAUGCGAGGUAAACACACAGCUCAGGUAGUUGAUUUAAAUGUGCAAGAAUGUGUUUUAUGAUCCAGUGAAAUCACAAUGUUUGCCGCAGGUUUUUAUCACUGAUUCAUUCAUUAACUCAAUAAAAUUGCAUCUAAAGCCA